UUCGGGACAGGGGAGACAGGUGGUGCAUGGUUGUCGUCAGCUCGUGUCGUGAGAUGUUGGGUUAAGUCCCGCAACGAGCGCAACCCCUAUCCUCAGUAGCCAGCAAGUUAAGUUGGGCACUCUGUGGAGACUGCCAGGGAUAACCUGGAGGAAGGCGGGGAUGACGUCAAAUCAUCAUGCCCCUUAUGAUUUGGGCUACACACGUGCUACAAUGGCGUAAACAAAGGGAAGCGAGAUUGUGAGAUGGAGCAAAUCCCAAAAAUAACGUCCCAGUUCGGACUGUAGUCUGCAACCCGACUACACGAAGCUGGAAUCGCUAGUAAUCGCGGAUCAGAAUGCCGCGGUGAAUACGUUCCCGGGUCUUGUACACACCGCCCGUCACACCAUGGGAGUCAGUAACGCCCGAAGUCAGUGACCUAACCGAAAGGGAGGAGCUGCCGAAGGCGGGACCGAUGACUGGGGUGAAGUCGUAACAAGGUAGCCGUAUCGGAAGGUGCGGCUGGAUCACCUCCUUUCUAAGG
rnacentral:rRNA from 1 species